CUGUACAUCAAAGAAACGUCACUAUAUGUGUAUACUCCUCUAUCAUCCACCAGCUGUCUUGGAAGUUGCCGCUGGCCCCUUCCCCAAUAUAUUGUUCUCCCAGUAUCUCAGCGACUUCAUUGAAGAUAUUUGACUUCUUGUUUCAACCUGGACCUCUCAGCAUAGAGGAGCAAGAGAAGGCAGAACUCUCUGAAAGAAUGAUCCUGACUGAUGAUAUGAAAUACUUGCCUGGCCCCAGACCUGCAGGGGCUGUGGCUUUGGAAAUACCUGAGUUUGGAAUCUCCCCAUGUUCUUCUCCACCCAGUGUAUUUUCAGAGGCCCAGCCUGAGGAAGAGGUUGCUGAAACUGAGAGUGAAUCCCCCAAUACAGAAUCACUACAUCAAAUCCCAAGCACUGAACAGCAGCAAAUCAGUGAAGAAGCAGACGAGGAGAGAACAAACCUUCUAACAGAGGGAGAUUUCUGUUUGGACAAAAGUCAAACUUUACAGAUGAAGAGAAAAACAGACAGUCCUCCCAGAAAUGAGUCACCUUACAGGUUCUUGUUGUCUCUGUUCUGAAGGUUCUGAAAAAAGGAAGAAAAAAGCUUCAAAGAGUGACAGAGUUCCAUCUGGCAAAGAAAAGGUAUUCUCCAUCACCAUAAAUGCUACAGUUGGUAUUAGUGGGGC
rnacentral:lncRNA from 1 species